UUGAGGGUACUGCUAGGAGGAGCCCCCUAGGAAUCCAAUGGGCUGGAGCAUCUUGAGUAGCAGCUGUUCCAGCCAGGAGACCAAAAGAGGAAGUUGAAGGCAGGGAAGGAGAGGCUGGAGGAAGGUCCCUGUGCUAGAGGAUUCCCUGACUGCAGAUCACGGUGGACCACUCUGUGUGAAUGCAGAAAAUCAAGCCCACGUAGCAGCUGAAAUGUCAUAUCCUAAGGGUAAGCAAUGAAGAGCUUUGAUGAGUAAGUGGGAAGCAAAGAAUCCUCUGUCCACUUUUCCCAUCAUCUAUAUUAACAGGAAUGAAAUGUCCAACCCAGUGUCUUGAACACAAGUUUUCUACGGCAUUCACAAUUACAGAACCCCAUACUAUACCAACUGGACUAGAAUUAACAUCAAAGACCACUGGAAGUGCCUAACAUAACUUCAAGAGUUCUGACCAGCUGGCUUGUAAGACCAAGACACUGUGAAUUUCCUGAGCAUGAACUUCGGAAUCAAAGUAUUUUUGUAAGAGUUCAACAAUUCAGUUGCUAAAUCCAGGAGUUACCACAAGCAGAAGCAUGUUCUUUGAUAACAUUUGACAUGGAAGACUAAGAAACAUUCAGUCUCGAUAAGAACAACCAUCACAAAUAUUUUUAACGGCCAUGCUCAUUGCCUUUAUCUUUUAUAUGUUCAAAUUUAAAAAAUGCACCUGACCUCAUCAUGUGGAUUAUGCUAUUUUUUAAAAAAAUCUACAUUUUAUGCCCA